rnacentral:rRNA from 1 species
ACGCUGGCGGCAGGCCUAAGACAUGCAAGUCGAGCGAGAAAGCCCUUCGGGGUGAGUACAGCGGCGGACGGGUGAGUAACGCGUAGGAAUCUACCCAGUAGUGGGGGACAACUAGUGGAAACGCUAGCUAAUACCGCAUACGCCCUAAGGGGGAAAGCGGGGGAUCUUCGGACCUCGUGCUAUUGGAUGAGCCUGCGUAAGAUUAGCUUGUUGGUGAGGUAAUGGCUCACCAAGGCGACGAUCUUUAGCUGGUCUGAGAGGAUGAUCAGCCACACCGGGACUGAGACACGGCCCGGACUCCUACGGGAGGCAGCAGUCGGGAAUAUUGCGCAAUGGGCGAAAGCCUGACGCAGCCAUGCCGCGUGUGUGAAGAAGGCCCUAGGGUUGUAAAGCACUUUCAAUUGGGAGGAAAAGCUAAUGGUUAAUAACCAUUAGCCCUGACGUUACCUUUAGAAGAAGCACCGGCUAACUCCGUGCCAGCAGCCGCGGUAAUACGGAGGGUGCAAGCGUUAAUCGGAAUUACUGGGCGUAAAGCGCGCGUAGGCGGUUUUUUAAGUCGGAUGUGAAAGCCCCGGGCUCAACCUGGGAACUGCAUCCGAUACUGGAUGACUANAAUGCGGGAGA